UACGAAGGGGGCUAGCGUUGCUCGGAAUCGCUGGGCGUAAAGCGCACGUAGGCGGAUUGCUAAGUCAGGGGUGAAAUCCUGGAGCUCAACUCCAGAACUGCCUUUGAUACUGGCAACCUUGAGUCCGGGAGAGGUGAGUGGAACUGCGAGUGUAGAGGUGAAAUUCGUAGAUAUUCGGAGGAACACCAGUGGCGAAGGCGGCUCACUGGUCCGGUACUGACGCUGAGGUGCGAAAGCGUGGGGAGCAAACAGG
rnacentral:rRNA from 1 species